CUGUCCGUCAGCUCGUGCUGUGAAGUGUUGGGUUAACGUCCCGCAACGAGCGCAACCCCUUUUGUCUGUUACCAGCAAGUAAAGUUGGGGACUCAGACGGAACUGCCGGUGACAAACCGGAGGAAGGUGGGGACGACGUCAAGUCAUCAUGGCCCUUAUAUCCUGGGCUACACACGUGCUACAAUGGCAGGUACAGAGCGAAGCGAAGCAGCGAUGCGGAGCAAAUCGCAGAAAGCCUGUCUCAGUACAGAUUGGAGUCUGAAACUCGACUCCAUGAAGGUGGAAUCGCUAGUAAUCGCGCAUCAGCAUGGCGCGGUGAAUACGUUCCCGGGCCUU
rnacentral:rRNA from 1 species